rnacentral:rRNA from 1 species
ACUCCUACCGGGAGGCAGGCAGGUGGGGAAUAUUGGACAUCAAUAGGGGGAAAGGCCCAUCGAUGCAGCAACGACCGCCGUGGGAGGAUGACACAUUUCGGUGCGUAAACUCCUUUUAUAUAGGAAGAUAAUGACGGUACUAUAUGAAUAAGCGCCGGCUAACUCCGUGCCAGCAGCCGCGGUAAUACGGAGGGCGCAAGCGUUACUCGGAAUCACUGGGCGUAAAGAGCGUGUAGGCGGAUAGAUAAGUCAGGAGUGAAAUCCUAUGGCUCAACCAUAGAACUGCUCUUGAAACUGUCAAUCUAGAGUAUGGGAGAGGUAGAUGGAAUUUCUGGUGUAGGGGUAAAAUCCGUAGAGAUCAGAAGGAAUACCGAUUGCGAAGGCGAUCUACUGGAACAUAACUGACGCUGAGACGCGAAAAGCGUGGGGAGCAAACAGGAUUAGAUACCCUGGUAGCUUACGAGU